UNGGAAUUACUGGGCGUAAAGCGGGCGCAGACGGUUACUUAAGCAGGAUGUGAAAUCCCCGGGNUCAACCUGGGAACUGCGUUCUGAACUGGGUGACUAGAGUGUGUCAGAGGGAGGUAGAAUUNCACGUGUAGCAGUGAAAUGCGUAGAGAUGUGGAGGAAUACCGAUGGCGAAGGCAGCNUCCUGGGAUAACACUGACGUUCAUGCCCGAAAGCGUGGGUAGCAAACAGGAUUAGAUACCCUGGUAGUCCACGCCCUAAACGAUGUCGAUUAGCUGUUGGGCAGCAUGACUGCUUAGUAGCGAAGCUAACGCGUGAAAUCGACCGCCUGGGGAGUACGGUCGCAAGAUUAAAACUCAAAGGAAUUGACGGGGACCCGCACAAGCGGUGGAUGAUGUGGAUUAAUUCGAUGCAACGCGAAGAACCUUACCUGGUCUUGACAUGUGCGGAACCCUCCAGAGACGGAGGGGUGCCUUCGGGAGCCGUAACACAGGUGCUGCAUGGCUGUCGUCAGCUCGUGUCGUGAGAUGUUGGGUUAAGUCCCGCAACGAGCGCAACCCUUGUCAUUAGUUGCCAUCAUUAAGUUGGGCACUCUAAUGAGACUGCCGGUGACAAGCCGGAGGAAGGUGGGGAUGACGUCAAGUCCUCAUGGCCCUUAUGACCAGGGCUUCACACGUCAUACAAUGGUCGGUACAGAGGGUAGCCAAGCCGCGAGGUGGAGCCAAUCUCACAAAACCGAUCGUAGUCCGGAUUGCACUCUGCAACUCGAGUGCAUGAAGUCGGAAUCGCUAGUAAUCGCAGGUCAGCAUACUGCGGUGAAUACGUUCCCGGGUCUUGUACACACCGCCCGUCACACCAUGGGAGUGGGGGAUACCAGAAGUAGGUAGGGUAACCGCAAGGAGCCCGCUUACCAC
rnacentral:rRNA from 1 species